rnacentral:rRNA from 1 species
UACGGAGGGUGCAAGCGUUAUCCGGAAUCAUUGGGUUUAAAGGGUCCGUAGGCGGACUGAUAAGUCAGAGGUGAAAUCCCACAGCUCAACUGUGGAACUGCCUUUGAUACUGUCAGUCUUGAGUCAUUUGGAAGUAGAUAGAAUGUGUAGUGUAGCGGUGAAAUGCAUAGAUAUUACACAGAAUACCGAUUGCGAAGCAGUCUACUACGAAUGUACUGACGCUGAUGGACGAAAGCGU